rnacentral:rRNA from 1 species
GACGAACGCUGGCGGCGUGCUUAACACAUGCAAGUCGAACGAUGAAGCUAGAGCUUGCUCUGGUGGAUUAGUGGCGAACGGGUGAGUAACACGUGAGUAACCUGCCCCGAACUCUGGGAUAACUGCUGGAAACGGUAGCUAAUACCGGAUAUGACCAAUGAAGGCAUCUUCUGUUGGUGGAAGGAAUUUCGGUUCGGGAUGGACUCGCGGCCUAUCAGCUUGUUGGUGAGGUAACGGCUCACCAGGGCGACGACGGGUAGCCGGCCUGAGAGGGUGAUCGGCCACACUGGGACUGAGACACGGCCCAGACUCCUACGGGAGGCAGCAGUGGGGAAUAUUGCACAAUGGGCGCAAGCCUGAUGCAGCAACGCCGCGUGAGGGACGACGGCCUUCGGGUUGUAAACCUCUUUUAGUAGGGAAGAAGCGAAAGUGACGGUACCUGCAGAAAAAGCACCGGCUAACUACGUGCCAGCAGCCGCGGUAA